GUGCUUACACAUGCAGUCGAGCGGUAAGGCCCUUUCGGGGGUACACGAGCGGCGAACGGGUGAGUAACACGUGGGUGACCUGCCCUCCACUCUGGGAUAAGCCCGGGAAACUGGGUCUAAUACCGGAUAGGACCACUGAUCGCAUGGUUGGUGGUGGAAAGUUUUUUCGGUGGGGGAUGGGCCCGCGGCCUAUCAGCUUGUUGGUGGGGUGAUGGCCUACCAAGGCGGUGACGGGUAGCCGGCCUGAGAGGGCGACCGGCCACACUGGGACUGAGACACGGCCCAGACUCCUACGGGAGGCAGCAGUGGGGAAUAUUGCGCAAUGGGCGGAAGCCUGACGCAGCGACGCCGCGUGGGGGAUGACGGCCUUCGGGUUGUAAACCUCUUUCGCCAGGGACGAAGAGCAAUUGACGGUACCUGGAGAAGAAGCACCGGCCAACUACGUGCCAGCAGCCGCGGUAACACGUAGGGUGCGAGCGUUGUCCGGAAUUAUUGGGCGUAAAGAGCUCGUAGGCGGUGUGUCGCGUCGGCCGUGAAAACUUGGGGCUUAACUCUGAGCGUGCGGUCGAUACGGGCAUCACUUGAGUUCGGCAGGGGAGACUGGAAUUCCUGGUGUAGCGGUGAAAUGCGCAGAUAUCAGGAGGAACACCGGUGGCGAAGGCGGGUCUCUGGGCCGAUACUGAC
rnacentral:rRNA from 1 species